GAGUGGUUUGGAUGUGAGGGUUUGCUGGAUUCCUUAAAAGAAUUCAGCUCCCUUGAAAUGCAUUAGCAGAAUAACCUGUUCAUUGGUGUGAUAACUAUCUACACUAUUGAAUGCAAGGGCCAGUUCAGCUUUCUAACAGUCCUUGGACAAUUUAUCAUUUAUGUGACCUCAAAUCAGGUAGGACUACCCGCUGAACUUAA
rnacentral:misc_RNA from 1 species